rnacentral:rRNA from 1 species
CCUACGGGGAGGCAGCAGUGAGGAAUUUUCCGCAAUGGGCGAAAGCCUGACGGAGCAAUACCGCGUGAGGGAUGAAGGAUUUUGGUCUGUAAACCUCUUUUCUCAAGAAAGAAGUUCUGACGGUACUUGAGGAAUAAGCAUCGGCUAACUCCGUGCCAGCAGCCGCGGUAAUACGGGGGAUGCAAGCGUUAUCCGGAAUGAUUGGGCGUAAAGCGCCUGUAGGUUGUUUAUUAAGUCCGUUGUUAAAGCCUAGGGCUUAACCCUAGAAAAGCAAUGGAAACUAGUAGACUAGAGUAUGGCAGGGGUAGAGGGAAUUUCUAGUGUAGCGGUGAAAUGCGUAGAUAUUAGAAAGAACACCGGUGGCGAAAGCGCUCUACUGGACCAUUACUGACACUCAGAGGCGAAAGCUAGGGUAGCAAAAGGGAUUAGAUACCCCUGUAGUCCUAGCCGUAAACGAUGGAUACUAGAUGUUGUGCAUUAUGUACAGUAUCGUAGCUAACGCGUUAAGUAUCCCGCCUGGGGAGUACGCUCGCAAGGGUGAAACUUAAAUGAAUUGACGG